GGUCCAGUAGCUCAGUUGGAUAGAGCAACGGCCUUCUAAGCCGUGGGUCGGGAGUUCGAAUCUCUCCUGGAUCACCA
rnacentral:tRNA from 4 species